CCUACGGGAGGCAGCAGUGGGGAAUAUUGCGCAAUGGGGGCAACCCUGACGCAGCAACGCCGCGUGAUUGAAGAAGGCCUUCGGGUUGUAAAGAUCUUUAAUCGGGGACGAAUUUUGACGGUACCCGAAGAAUAAGCUCCGGCUAACUACGUGCCAGCAGCCGCGGUAAUACGUAGGGAGCAAGCGUUAUCCGGAUUUAUUGGGUUUAAAGGGUGCGUAGGCGGACUGUUAAGUCAGCGGUAAAAGCCCGGGGCUCAACCCCGGCGAGCCGUUGAAACUGGCUGUCUUGAGAUGUCGAGAGGUAUGCGGAAUGCGCAGUGUAGCGGUGAAAUGCUUAGAUAUUGCGCAGAACUCCGAUUGCGAAGGCAGCAUACCGGCGGCGAUCUGACGCUGAGGCACGAAAGCGUGGGUAUCGAACAGGAUUAGAUACCCCUGUAGUC
rnacentral:rRNA from 1 species